rnacentral:rRNA from 1 species
CAGUCGCCGCGGGAAUACAGAGGGUGCGAGCGUUAAUCGGAUUUACUGGGCGUAAAGCGUGCGUAGGCGGCUUCUUAAGUCGGAUGUGAAAUCCCUGAGCUUAACUUAGGAAUUGCAUCGAUACUGGGAAGCUAGAGUAUGGGAGAGGAUGGUAGAAUUCCAGGUGUAGCGGUGAAAUGCGUAGAGAUCUGGAGGAAUACCGAUGGCGAAGGCAGCCAUCUGGCCUAAUACUGACGCUGAGGUACGAAAGCAUGGGGAGCAAACAGGAUUAGAUACCCCUGUAGUCCCUGUCUCUUAUACA